rnacentral:lncRNA from 1 species
GUCCGCGUGGACACCGUCCUCGAGUCGCCUCCGCAGCAUGCCCAUGAGGUUUUAAAUCGUCCGCCUCAUCGUCUUCACCAACUGGAUCCAGCAGGGAGCCACCACAACUUCGACAUCGACCUCGUCUUCAUCUUCGGCCACCAGAGCUCUGCCGCGUCAAUCCACUGCACUGCCUCUCCUAAGCUUUCGCCGGGCCGCCGUAUGCCUUCGCGGUGAGCUCAUCAUCCGAUUCCCCUCUUUCUUCCUUUGUUUUAGUCGUCGUAGCCCGUCGUUCCACCGCCAUGGCCGGAGCUCGCGAACGCCAUAUGCGCCCAGCCGCCGUUGGCUGCGCCCUAGGCCAUGCACGCACGCGCGCCCGUUCUCCACGCCCGCGCCCUCUGACUCCCGUCGCUCCUUUCCCUGCCAGCCCCGGCCGCGCUCCUUGCCCGUUGCUGCCAUUCCUCUGUUGUUCUCUCGCUGCUGCUCUUGCAUACUGCUGCUUCUCUGCCUACUGUGCUGCUGCGUGCUGCUCUAAGCUGCCACUGCUUCUGCAUGACGUGCUGCCGCUGCUACUAAUUACUACUGCCGCUGCCGUGCGCUGCUUGCUGCUGCUGGUGGCCAUGGCCAUGGCCAUGGCUAGCAUGUGUGUGCGCGUGCUGUGUGUGUUGAGUGCGUACGUGUUGUGUGUGCGUGCUCUGUGUGUGUGCAGCAUGUGUGUGCGCGUUGUGCAUGCGUGCAGUGUGUGCGUACAGUGCGUAUGUGCGCUGAGUGUGUGGCCGCGCCCACCACCGGCCUCGCCCGCCUUCGGCUGGCCUUGCCGUGCCGCUGCUGCCACUCCCUCUUGCUGCUCUUCCGGCUGCACUGGGCUGCUGCUCCGCUGCUACAGUAAUGUUCAGUUACUGUAGCAGUAGCCAGCUUUGCAACUUUAACACUAACGAGCCCUCUUGACAGCCCCUAAACAACAACUAAACAAAAGUUAAUAUGAGUAAAAUUCAUAUGGGCCUGUAGUACACUUGACAGGGUUCAAUACAAAAGUCACCUAGAUUAAUUCCUAUGAAAAUGACAAAAGUCUAUGUUCAGUUAACAGAAAAGGCUGAAAAUAGAGUUAUUGUGUUAGCUACUUUAGAGCAGAAAAUAAACAGGAUACAGGGUUCUAACAGAGAUGCAAUUGACACCAUCCUGUAGAUCACAGAAAAUUGGUCAAGAUUGGUAUUAGGUACCAAUUCAUAAGAUGGGCAGAACACUAGUUAUAGCCUCUGGAAAACAGCCAAGUGAGGUUUAAAGACUGAACUAUUCUCAGACUUAGCCAAUUUUCAGGAUUUCCAAAUAAUUAUUUAAAUCUUCGAAAAUUCAUAGAAAAUAAACUAUAGCUCGGAUCGAAAAACUUUCUACAUGAAAGUUGAUCAGAAAAACAAGACGAAUCUGACCGUGCCAUCUGUUUCCUUGUCAGGACCCUCUAUGGAGGCGAACCCGCAACUUUUUGCCCGUUUCCGGUAGAUGAAUAGUGCAUACGUUAGCAUAGCAUGCUUUGUGUUGCAUAUAUUAGCUGUGUAUUUAUUUGUUUCCUUCCCAUCUUCUCUCUCGGUAGAUCUCGGUAGUGACACAGUCCCCGAGACCGACGCAGCUCCGGAGAUUGAUGACACCAUUGAUGACCCUGCCUUUGCCGCAGAGCAACCAGGCAAGCCCCCUCCCUUUGAUCAUCCCGAUAUCGUCGAUUCCAUUCUAUCAUGCUUGAAUUAGAUUUUGCUAUUGUUAUUGUUUGCUCCUAUUCUGAUGCAUAGCUUGCUUAUUGUUACCUUACCUACUUUCCUAAACUGCUUAGUACAGGUUGGUUAGUGAUCCAUCAGUGACCCCCCACCUUGUCCUUGUUCCCCUACUUCAUCAUUGAAGACCCGAUCAACGGGAUUGAAGACCAGGCCCCAACACCGCACAUCACUUUCCCCUUAGUUGCUCGACACUACUGGGUUACUAUCGAGUGCCGAGGGUGAGACUUCUACAGCACUUCUGAUGUUAACCCUGUAGUGUAGCUAUUCGGUCGUGGUCAUCGAGGGUGAUUUCCUAUUUAACCACUUCCGAAACGACUCUGUCAUGCAACCCCUCAAGUGUGGACCUCGAGGGUGGUCCCUCUUUCAUUCACCUUGAUGAUUACAUCGAGUGGAAUUCACCGGGGGUGAUUCCUCGGGUUUUCCCCUUGAUGUUUGGACACACGGAUACUUGGACUUUACAACUGUUACUUGAAAAGGCGGGUCGACCCUGAGGGGUACCCGCGAGUGAUGUGGAGACGAGUUGACCUGGAGUGUGCCCGAGAGUUGAAUACGAGGCAUGGCCGGGCAUUCUUACCCCCUGCCGCAAGUCCUCGAGACGGGGCGACGGGGUCACAUCUUUCGUGAGUCUCUGCUCGUGACCGCACUACCAACACACUAACGGUUUGGAUAUUUGAUCCAAGGGGCCUCUGGCCUGAUAGCACUAACCAUCAUGUGGGCAUAGUAUGGGCGUUCUGCGUCGUAUACAUCAGCCGAAGCUUAAUAGGAUUCAGCGACUGAGCGGCGCACGCCGGGUUGGACUGGUAAGCACCUGCCUUUUUUAAGGAGGUAGCUAGGUCUGCUCACCAGCCACCCACGCAACAUGCAGGAGUUCCCGGGGAGAUGGCCCAUGACCCCUGGGGCAUAGAUUUAGCCCGGCGUGCUGACCUCUCUGUUAAGUCUAGGUCGGGUUGCGGCAUAUUGUUUGGCCGAGGCCGGGCAUGACCCAGGAAAGUGUGUCCGGCCGGAGUUAAUCGAGCAUGGUGGGUAAGUUGGUGCUCCCCUGCAGGGAAGAAAACAUCUAUCGAUAGCCUGUCCUACGGUAACGGACACUUGGAGUUGUAUCCCGAUCGAUACAACUAGAACUGGAUACUUGAGAUGAGACUUGGAUAUGAGAUGAUAACUGGAUAGUAUGGCUCUGGGAUUGCUUUCUCGCAGGGAGUCGAGAAAGGAUCUCUAGCCGAGGUAGACAACACUACUACUACUUUACUUUAUGCUACUCUACUCCCUCCUAUUGCUGCAAGAUGGUGGUUUCCAUAAGAUGCUAGUCUUCGAUAGGACUAGGCCUUCUCUCUCUUCUAGCAUUUCUGCAGCCCAUUCCACAUAUACAACCUUCCUUUGAUAAUGUUGCAUAUGUAGUGUAGAUCCUUGCUUGCGAGUACUUUGGAUGAGUACUCACGGUUGCUUUGCUCCCCCUUUUCCCCCUUUCUUUUUCUUUCCGGUUGAUGCAACCAGAUGUCGGAGACCAGGAGCCAGAUGCCACUACCGAUGCCUACUACUACGUGGAGACCAUUGACGACCAGGAGUAGUUAGGAGGCUCCCAGGAAGUAGGCCUUGCCUUUUCGAUCGUAGAUGCUUUUGUGCUAGCCUUCUUAAGGCAAACUUGUCUAACUUAUGUCUGUACUCAGAUAUUGUUGCUUCUGCUGACUCGUUGUAUUCGAGCUUAUGUAUUCGAGUCCUCGAGGCCCCUGGCUUGUAAUAUAAAGCUUGUAUUAUUUGAAUUUGUGUCUAGAGUUGUGUUUUGAUAUCUUACAGUGAGUCCCUGAUCUUGAUCGUACACAUUUGCGUGUAUGAUUAGUGUACGAUUGAAUCAGGGGCGUCACAAGUUGGUAUCAGAGCCGACUGCUUGUAGGUAGCCCCCUUUCCAACUCCUUGGCCGAAGUUGAGUCUAGUCACUGAAAAACUUUUACUAACAUUGGUUGUGUGUCUUACGGGCCCACGUUGCCAUUGGGUGGUAUUAUGAUCUUUUACUCCUCGUCUAUACUCUGGGAUUCUGAUCUAUCUUCUAUUCGGGUUAAACAUUUUACUAACUCUGACAUUGGGUUAUCGUAACCACUUCCUCCCGGAGAGCCCCUACAUUACCGAUGAUCGCUUGCUUCACCAGAUGAUUCUGCGGAUACUCCUCGAUGUUUCCCGAGACCCUGUUCCCACUGCUUUGCAGUCCUAACCACCGAUAAGUCCCCAUGGAUACCAUCCUUGCCAUUUGUACCUUCAUCCCCAGUUGCUCUUGUUGUUACAAGUUACCCCUAACACUCUCCGUUGUUCCGAGAAUCCUUUGUGUCUUAUGCUUUGCAGCUUCUUUUCGCACUAUGGAUAACUCACUUACCCGGGGUCCGUUCCUCCCCAGUUGUUCACAUGCUUUCCAAAAUACUUUGAAAUGCUAUCUGAUCUCCCCAAAAUCCUCCGUGGCCUUUUACUUUUGAUUCCCCUCGCCUGCUUGUAUUAUGGUUAAUUCCAUAUGUCUAGCGAUAUUUAUUAAAAUCCUUUGUGAUUGUCACUCUGUUCCUACGGAUUCAACGUAUGUGCGACUACUCACAAUCAUCAAUUCAUCCAUAGGAAUUUACUUUCCGGCUCAGACAUCAUUCCGGAUAUGAGCUGGUUCUUGCCCAAUCAAGAUUCGAUUGGUGUGCCUCUAAGUCUGUUCAACCUAUCCAUCUUCGAUCGGAGCAUCUGAUCUGAUACACCGAUCUAGAAAUCCAAUUUCUUUGUAUUUAAGCAUCGAAUUAUUCAGAUGUUUCCAUAAACCAAUGCCCUUGCAUUUCUUCUUCUUCUGGUUGGAUGCUAAUACUCACAUCAACUCCGUCGUGAAUCGCCAGAUCCAUUGUUGGAUUGUAUCCGACAGUGUCCAUCGCAUUCAAAAACCUCGAGAGUUCUUCCCCUUAUACAUGAUGCCUUUGGCAAAUUGUAUCCUCUCCUUACAUUCGAGUUUGUGUUAUUUACUCCUAAACACUGCGGUGUAGGUUCCUAAGAUGUCCCAAUGGGUUGAACCUAUGCUUUUCCUAAUCCAUGUGAACUCGAAAGUUAUGCGAGUCAUACUCUUCUGGUGCUUCACCAGAUAAAUCUUUAACACUACAACUUCAUCAAAAGCAAGAAGUGAAUGAAAGGUUAUGCAUUGAAGAAGUGGGAGUCGACCUUGAACUUAGUGUUCAUGCCCAUGGACCCGAUGUGGAACUUAUCAUGGAAGCUUCUUAUGAUAAUAAUAAUCCCCUUGUUAUAAGUUCAUCUGGUAUCUAUGUUUGGUCCUUUGCAAUCGUGGUUCUGACCAUGAUUGUUCCCCUUUGAUUCCAUUUCUCGGACUAGUUAAAGUACUUGUCUUCUGCAGAUGACUACACAUGUCCAAACUCUAUUAUGCCCUAUCUUUGAGUAUUACCCUCUAGUAUCUCGAGGAUAUCAUGCAUUGCACUACAUCUAAUGAACUUUUGAUGAAGUACUACCUUACCCUGUCUUAGUCACUUCAUGGGUUCUGGGUUGUCUUCAACCGAGACCACCAAACAAUGAAUCUAUUCUGCUCAGUGAUUCAGCACUCCUAGUACUUUGUUGCUGGGGAGUUGGAUACUCCAUCACAUCAUUCCUAGCCUGAUCGGCUAUAUUUUUAUCGUGUCAACUUUUAACUAUGCUACCUGGUCCUUAUGCCCGGAGCAACUUUCGACGAUGAGCUAAGCUUACAUUGAUCUUUCUCGUCAUAUCAUUUCACCUUGAACAGAAAGUUUGAUUUCGACUUUGUGUCGUACUCAUGGUUCCAAUAGCCUUUCGCUUCGUCCUUCCUGUUACUUGAUGGCAUCUUCAUAGAGCCUCUCGACAAAGGCGUCUUGAUCAGCAUCAACAUUUUGACUUCUGUUGAAAUGGCAAUUGAAUUCAUGGUUAGAAAUACCAUCCUUGACCUUCAAUGAUUUGAGUUAUCAUUGACAACCCCCCUUGUCUUCUUUCCAACACAUGUUUGGUCAUGUAUUGGUUAUACCUUGGACUACUUGUUAUUCCUGCAAUUGUUCUUUGAGUAUUUCUUGUGAUCUUCAACUCCAAUCCCUACUUGGAACACCAUGUUAAUGCUACCUCUAAGCAUGGCUGUGGUAUUCCGAAUAUCAACAAGAACAUUGGAAGCACAUUGUCGAAUGUUUCUUGAUCUAUUAUCCAAACACCGUUGUAUGUGUAAUAUCAUGAUUCUUCCCUCACCCCCUUUAUCUAAAUGCUUUUGAACUUGCUGUCUUAUCAUGGAUAUCAUACUCUGCUUGUCCUUGGGAAGGAUAUAUUCCUGAUAAUAGUGUUUAAACACACUUUCCUUUCCAAUGUUCUGAUUAAUCUAAUGAUCACCUUUUCUUUCCAUUGUUUUGUUUAACCUUUCUUGUGGUUUGUGAGAUCUAAGCAGUAAUAGUUCCCUACUUAUGGAAACACCUCGGUGUACAACUCUGUCAGUAAGACCCUGCUACUAUUGUUGAUGAUGUUCCGAACCACCAACGGACGAGAACUUUGCCUAUUGGUCCACCUCGUCUUACGAGCAGGAAAAUAGUUCUCUUCGUCCCUCGCCCUUGGUACCAACGUUGUUGGCAACAUAACUGACAGUCUAUCAUCUGACAUGCCUUGCUAUGACCCCCCUUUCUACUUUUAACCCACAUGGUGGGCCCAUAACCCACAGGUCCUAGGAUCAGAACCUUACUCUCCUGUAUAUCUUUGAUUCCAAAAUAUUCUUGCAUUUGGAUUCGUAUCAUGUCACGAGCCACCUUUCGAGAGAUGGUCUAUUCCGAUGCUCUGAACCCCUUUGUCACACUUUGGUCAGGUAUCAAUCGUUUGCCCAUUUGUUUGAAACUUCCUAUUGUACCUUCAUACUUUGCUCUCGAUGUUUUAUUAAGUUUCAACUCGAGAGAUACUUCUGCCUCAUUUCCCGAAUUGUUCACCAGAUAAUUAACCCUAUAAGGUUCAGUUCUCCCGAAGUUACUCUUUACUUCCCCACUUAAAUCUCGGGACGAGAUUUCUUGUAGUGGAGGAGAUUUGUAACACCCCAGUGUCAUGUUACAGUAAUCCCCAGUUAAUGGUGCCAUGUCAUCAUGUUACUGUUGCUAAUCUUCAGUUGAUCCAAAUCAUGAUUCAAAUUCAAUUCCAAUCUAAAGUCAAAAAUUCAUAUUUGUCAGAUAUGAAAUCUAAAAUGUUCAUCUUGUGCCAAAUAAUCCCGUAACUAAUAUUGGUAGUGAAACAACAUUUUUACAAAGUGUUUGAGUGCAUUAAACUAGCUAAAAUAGUGCUUAAAACAUUUGUUUAAAUGCUUUUUAAAUAGUAAACAAAUAUAAACAUAUUUUAUUAAAGGGGCAAGUCAUUUGUGGUAGUUAAUUUAAUAAUACUAAUUUAGGGGCUAGUGUUGUAUUUUACAAAAAUAAUGAAAUAAAAAAAUAGGGAAAAUACAAACUUUAGAAAAAAGCCCACAACCACCUGCCCCUGGACGUAGGCCACCCAACCGAACCCCUCCCUUUGUCGUCUACCCCGCUACAGGAAGACGACCGAGACGACCCGAGCCGAGUCCUAGCCGGAUCGCCUCGCCGGCAAACUCCCCCCGGUGGAUAAGAUCGCCACGGCCCUCGCCUCCUCGAUCCCCUCUCCCACUCGGCCCCCACUCAUUUGCUCUCUCUCCCCUCAUCUAACCACCGCUCCCCUCCUCCAGAUCCGCCCGCUGCUGACCAUGCUACUGCGAUGGCCGUCAUCACCUCUGCUCGUGCGCGUGGACACCGUCCUUGAGUCGCCUCCGCAGCGUGUCCAGGAGGUUUUCCAUCGUCUGCCUCAUCGUCUUCACCAACUGGAUCCAGCAGGGAGCCACCACAACAUCGACAUCGACCUCGUCUUCAUCUUCGGCCACCGGAGCUCCGCCGCGUCAAUCCACUGCACUGCCGCUCCUAAGCUAUCGCCGGGCCGCCGUGUGCCUUCGCGGUGAG